CCCAAGCUGAGUAAAAAAGGAUAUUAAAAACCCAAAUUGCAGGCCAGGCAUGGUGGCUCAUGCCUGUAAUCCUGGGAUUUUUGAAGGCUGAGGGCCGAAGGAUGGCUUGAGCCCAGGAGUCCGAGACCAGCCUGGGCAACAUGGCAAAACCUUGUCUCUCCAAAAAACAAAAAACCCAAACUGCAAAGGCUAUCAGUACUGUCUCCAUCUCGAUCACACAACUAGGCAGUGACAGAAACUGGAACAAGGAAAAACAAAAACCAGAUAUGAGACUAUGGAAGAGAGUACCUGGAUCUAGUUUAUUCCAAAGACAGACAAGCAGUUUGUGCCUCCACUCCAGGAUGACUAACUACAACGAUUACACGUAAAAAGACAAAACAAGGCCGGGCGCGGCGGUUCACGCUUGUAAUCCCAGCACUUUGGGAGGCCGAGGCAGGCGUAUUACGAGGUCAGGAGAUCGAGACCUUCCUGGCUAAGACGGUGAAUCCCCGUCUCUACUAAAAAUACAAAAAAUUAGCCGGACAUGGUGGCGGGCGCCUGUAGUUUCAGCUACUCGGGAGACUGAAGCAGGAGAAUGGCGUGAACCCGAGAGGCGGAGCUUGCAGUGAGCUGAGAUCGCGCCACUGCACUCCAGCCUGGGCGACAGAGCGAGACUCCGUCUCAAAAAAAAAAGAAAAAGAAAAAGAAAAAAAAAAAAACCUUGCUACACUAAGUUCCUGAGGGCCAAGGAAAGCCAUUUAGAUCUUUGGGUUUCAUUUGCUUCACUUAAGCAUCUUUAUUUUUGCACUUGAACGUCUGGCAGAGCAUUUUGAUGAUGAUGAUGCACAAAUACUACGAAUAAAUGGAUGCGUGACUAGCUAAAUAGAA
rnacentral:lncRNA from 1 species